CUAACAUGCACGAGUCAGGGGCUCGCAUGAAAGCCACCCGUGGUGCAAUGAAGGUGAAGGCCCGCACCCGCCGAUGGAGGUGGGAUUCGGAGGCCUCAGUCCUUCUUCCUGGCCUGCCGAGGGCGCACCACACGGGAGGGGGAGCAUAAGCGUGUGUGUUAGGACCCGAAAAAUGGUGAACUAUGCCUGGGUAGGGCGAAGCCAGAGGAAACUCUUGUGGAGGUCUGUAGCGGUACAGACGUGCAAAUAGAUCCUCCGACCUGGGUAUAGGGGCGAAAGACUAAUCGAACCAUCUAGUAGCUGG
rnacentral:ncRNA from 1 species